AGUCGAGCGGACUUUUAAAGCUUGCUUUUGAAAGGUCAGCGGCGGACGGGUGAGUAACACGUGGGCAACCUGCCUGUAAGACUGGGAUAACUUCGGGAAACCGGAGCUAAUACCGGAUAAUAUAAGGAACCUCCUGGUUCUUUAUUGAAAGAUGGUUUCGGCUAUCACUUACAGAUGGGCCCGCGGCGCAUUAGCUAGUUGGUGAGGUAAUGGCUCACCAAGGCGACGAUGCGUAGCCGACCUGAGAGGGUGAUCGGCCACACUGGGACUGAGACACGGCCCAGACUCCUACGGGAGGCAGCAGUAGGGAAUCUUCCACAAUGGACGAAAGUCUGAUGGAGCAACGCCGCGUGAGCGAUGAAGGCCUUCGGGUCGUAAAGCUCUGUUGUUAGGGAAGAACAAGUGCGAGAGUAACUGCUCGCACCUUGACGGUACCUAACCAGAAAGCCACGGCUAACUACGUGCCAGCAGCCGCGGUAAUACGUAGGUGGCAAGCGUUGUCCGGAAUUAUUGGGCGUAAAGCGCGCGCAGGUGGUCCUUUAAGUCUGAUGUGAAAGCCCACGGCUCAACCGUGGAGGGUCAUUGGAAACUGGGGGACUUGAGUGCAGAAGAGGAAAGUGGAAUUCCAAGUGUAGCGGUGAAAUGCGUAGAGAUUUGGAGGAACACCAGUGGCGAAGGCGACUUUCUGGUCUGUAACUGACACUGAGGCGCGAAAGCGUGGGGAGCAAACAGGAUUAGAUACCCUGGUAGUCCACGCCGU
rnacentral:rRNA from 1 species